rnacentral:rRNA from 1 species
UACGUAGGGUGCGAGCGUUAAUCGGAAUUACUGGGCGUAAAGCGUCCGCAGGCGGUUCUAUAAGACAGAUGUGAAAUCCCUGGGCUCAACCUAGGAACUGCAUUUGUGACUGUAGAGCUAGAGUACGGCAGAGGGGGAUGGAAUUCCGCGUGUAGCAGUGAAAUGCGUAGAUAUGCGGAGGAACACCGAUGGCGAAGGCAAUCCCCUGGGCCUGUACUGACGCUCAUGGACGAAAGCGUGGGGAGCAAACAGG